CCGUCAUGUAUCUGACAAAGAGCUUUUUCUUUACGAUGUUUCAGGGGAAGAAGAGAGAGAGAGCGGCGUGACGUCACACACGCGGCUUCUAAACGCGCUGAUCGGUGCAACAACAGUCAUCUGUAUAACUGCAGUUAUCUUUGGGUUGAUCUACAGGGGAAAACGUCACAGGUCGCGGUCAUCUGUACGUGAGACUCACGACUCUGUUGAAGACGACCCAGAUGACCCGUAUACGAGCCUCCAGCAACCAGCCGCUGACCUUUACCAGACGAUCUCCCACUCAAGAGGCUCUAAAGACCAGGAAGUAGACAGAGGAGACUCUGAUCAAAGUUGCCAGGACACUUAUGAAAAUAUGACUCCGUAAGCAGCACGAGGACUGUGACUUGUGUUUGUACUUGAUCAUGAUUUCUUGCAAUAAGAUGUGAUUUAAGUAGAUGUUGAAUGAGCUGAAGGUCCUUUUGAGUGACAUUUCACUGGGAUCAGUGUAACUGUUCUCUGUCCUCUUUCACUGCACAAAAUAUUCAAGAUUCAUUGUCUGAAAACACGUUUAUCACUAAAAUGUUGCUUGUCGGUGACUGUGUCCAAUAACAAGUGUCAAGAGAUAUUUUAACAAGUACACACAGGAGGAUCUUAAAAAUCUGUAUUUUCCUCUUGGUAAUGAAAUGUAACCUUUUAAGUUACUACUUUGUUUUUAAAUACUCUCUAUGAAAGUAAAGCAGUGGUUGAAGGAUUAUGAAAUGCAAUAAAGGGAAUAACACAUUA